UACGGAUUCCAACUGAUGGUGAAGAUAAAUGAAGUACACCAAGUGAUUGAAUUUCUUCAAUUAUCGUCCAACUUUGAAUGUCAUCAUAAUCUUGUUUUACAGAGGCAGGAGUAUUGCUUUCAGAACUUGCACACGAUUUAUUACUAAGGACAGAAUUCCUUUUUUCAAUAACUGCUUCUUGCUGACUGAUCCAAAUUCUAAUAACUUCAUGGUAAGUUCGUAACAAGUACUCUGAACCCUUAACCAAUUUCCGAGAAA